GACGGAGGAUGCAAGUGUUAUCCGGAAUCACUGGGCGUAAAGCGUCUGUAGGUGGUCAAAUAAGUCAACUUUUAAAUCUUGAGGCUCAACCUCAAAAUCGCAGUCGAAACUAUUAGACUAGAGUAUAGUAGGGGUAAAGGGAAUUUCCAGUGGAGCGGUGAAAUGCGUAGAGAUUGGAAAGAACACCGAUGGCGAAGGCACUUUACUGGGCUAUUACUAACACUCAGAGACGAAAGCUAGGGUAGCAAAUGGG
rnacentral:rRNA from 1 species